rnacentral:lncRNA from 1 species
UGCUUUUUUUGUUUUGUUUUGUUUUUGAGCUGGAGUCUCACUCAGUCACCCAGGCUGGAGUGCAGUGGCAUGACCUUGGUUCACUGCAACCUCCGCCUCCCGGGUUCAAGCAAUUCUCCUGCCUCAGCUUCCCGAGUAGCUGGGAUUACAGGCGCCCACCACCACGCCUGGUUAAUUUUUGUAUUCUUAGUAGAGAUGGGGUUUCACCAUGUGCAGGCUGGUCUCAAACUCCUGACCUCAGGUGAUCCGCCUGCCUUGGCCUCCCAAAGCGCUGGGAUUACAGGCAUGAGCCACUGUGACCAGCCU